rnacentral:tRNA from 2 species
GCCUCUAUAGCUCAAUGGACAGAGCGUCAGUUUCCGGAACUGGAUAUGGGGGUUCAAUUCCCUCUAGAGGCA